rnacentral:tRNA from 1 species
GAGGGUACAGUUCAGUGCUAGAGCACGUGCUUAGCAUGCAUGAGGUCCUGGGUUCAAUCCCCAGUACCGCCA